UACAGAGGUCCCAAGCGUUGUUCGGAUUUAUUGGGCGUAAAGAGCGUGUAGGCGGCCAGACAGGUCCGUUGUGAAAACUCGAGGCUCAACCUCGAGACGCCGAUGGAAACCGUUUGGCUAGAGUCCGGAAGAGGAGAGUGGAAUUCCUGGUGUAGCGGUGAAAUGCGCAGAUAUCAGGAAGAACACCCGUGGCUAAGGCGGCUCUCUAGUACGGUACUGACGCUGAGACGCGAAAGCGUGGGGAGCAAACAGG
rnacentral:rRNA from 1 species